rnacentral:other from 1 species
ACUACCCUGCCGUGUUCGUGAAUGUCUAAUAUUCCUUGAACCAUUCACUCGCACCGGUCGUGGAAAUUUGUUUGAUGGGUGUGCGCGUCGCUAGUCCGAUGAACCCGAAAUUGAACUAACUACGACCACCUGAACCACAGGUUCGGGAUGCUGACAUAGCGGCACAGGCGGGGCUCCU